AUUGAACGCUGGCGGCAGGCCUAACACAUGCAAGUCGAGCGGAGCGGCGGACGGGUGAGUAAUGCCUAGGAAUCUGCCUGGUAGUGGGGGAUAACGUCCGGAAACGGGCGCUAAUACCGCAUACUAUCAGAUGAGCCUAGGUCGGUUUAGCUAGUUGGUGGGGUAAAGGCCAACCCAGGCGACGAUCCGUAACUGGUCUGAGAGGAGGAUCAGUCACCCUGGAACUGAGACACGGUCCAGCCUCCUCCGGGAGGCAUCAGGGGGGAUGAUUGGACAAUGGGCGAAGUCCGGAUCCAGCCAUGCCGCGUUUGUGAAGAAGGUCUGCGGAUUGUAAAGCACUUUAAGUUGGGAGGCGUUACCAACAGAAUAAGCACCGGCUAACUUCGUGCCAGCAGCCGCGGUAAUA
rnacentral:rRNA from 1 species